rnacentral:lncRNA from 1 species
CAUCACGCUUAACCUACGUACAAGCAAACAUAAGGACGGUCAGCAAAAAACCAAUGCAAGGCUGGCAUCCGUAAAAGUUAAAGCAGCUCCUCCUACAGCUCGGCAAAUCACAACGGAAAAUAGGUUUGCUAUGCUACAGAACGAGGAGGCUUAGACCAGCUGCCCUAGUUAGCUUUACUAUAUAAAUGCUAUAACAUUGUAAUAAGAAACCUCAAGAGAGUUCAAUAAGAAAAGAAAGUUACCUCUUCAUCGUUGUUUAGCCUCUGCUUUCAUGUACGACCUUUCAUCCAACACUUCCAUGACCUCGUCCAUCCGCCCCCUUUCUCUAGUUCCUACCACUGGCUUGACCCUCUCCAGUGAGUUUCUAAGCUACCAUCAUAUUAGUUAUUAGUUCUGAGUUUGUUUCCACGUAACAUUUUUUAUUAUACAAUUUGAUUGGUGGGAUCAUAAAUAUAACUUAGAGCAUCUUUAUUGGUAAAUAAUUUACCAAAGUAUUCAGUAAUAGUUUAUUAGUUAGUAUUGCUUAAUAAUGUAAUUAAAUUUUAAAUAUAAAAAGAACUGACCAUUUAUAUUUUGACUAGGGCUGGGCAAAAACCCCGAACCCGAAAACUAAACCUAAU